rnacentral:rRNA from 1 species
UACGUAGGGUGCGAGCGUUAAUCGGAAUUACUGGGCGUAAAGUGUGCGCAGGCGGCCGCGCAAGUCGAGUGUGAAAGCCCCGAGCUUAACUUGGGAAUUGCGCUCGAAACUACGUGGCUCGAGUGUGGCAGAGGAAGGUGGAAUUCCACGUGUAGCGGUGAAAUGCGUAGAUAUCGGAAGGAACAUCAGUGGCGAAGGCGGCUAUCUGGACAACAACUGACACUGAGGCACGAAAGCGUGGGGAGCAAACAGG